GAUAUUUUCCUCUAGGAUUUGUUUCCUGAGGCCACUUUGAAAAGGAAACACCAUCCAGAGUCUUGCUAUGGGCUGAACUCUUGGAUACUUGUGCUUCAGCCUCCUGAGUGCUAGAAUUACAGAUGUGCAUCACCACACUUGGCUAGGAACAUGUUUUUAUAUAAAAGGCUUGGCAUGCAGUAUUUGAAGCCCAUCCAAAUGUGGAUAAACAUCUAUUGCAAAUGCUGCCUACUAUGACUUCUCUAAGCAAAAAUACAGUGUGAAUGGAAGAAGACCCCCAAGAACACUUGAAGAGCUUAUAUUAGUCACCACAGACAGAAAUAGCUGAUACAUCCAGCCCUUUUUCUGUGCAGUUGCAUGAUCAAAUCAAGUAGUGUUAGAGCCACAAAGACCCUAAGAGACCAUCUGUUCUAACCCUCUCCAUUCUCACAGAUAGAGGAACUGAGAAGGGAGAGAGGAAACAGGUUGUUCACACGCAGAAACAGUGUCAAGAACAGGUGAAAUAGUUAAAAACAAGAACCAUAAACCUAGAAUCUUGUACUUAGUGAAAUUAUCCUUCAAAACUGAAGGACAGACAUCCAGCUUUUAGCCAGGCAUGUAAGAAGUUUGGAAGUUUUCACUCUAUCCCGAUAACAAGCAAAAUUCAACAGUUUUUCCUAGAUUCCUCAGAGAAGUGAGGUCACAGUGAGACAGACAAGAAGCACCUGACUCCUUUCCCGUGUGGCCAGAGUGGGUGUGAUUUGGUAAAUGGCUGUGGCACCCUUCCCACUCACUCCUCUCUGCUCUCCCUAUCCCUAACCCUGCCCCCCCGCCCCCCGCCAUUGACUGGGACAGUGUGCCUUAGUGCCCUCCCUGGUUAUUUAGGGCCGCUCUCCUCCAGGAUGCUCCAGCAGAAGUGCAGCUUGGCUGUCAGCUGCAGUGCCCCCUCCCCUGCUCCCACCACUUCAGACACGGCUGUGCUUCAUUGAAGAAGGGGAGGAACCCUAACAAGGGUAAGAUCAGGAAAGGAGAUAAUCUGGCCCUGUUAUUAACACUCCCAGCCUCCCCAGUCCCCAGUAGGCUGCAAUGAACACAGCUAGCCCUCCCAAAGUCUGGUAUCAGACCCACCAUUUUUGCUAGAGAUGCCACAGCUGUCAAUCAAACAGGAGAUGCCCACCCCCCACUGGAUCAUUGCCAUGAAUGCUGUAACUGUCCUGGAGCCCUGCAUCUACUUGAACCAAUCACAGGCCUCCAUUUGGGCCAAUCAUCAGGGUAGAUUUUUUUUUUUUUUGAGACAGGGUCUCACUAUAUAGUUCAGGCUGGCCUUGAACUCACAUGUAGCCCAGGCUGGCCUUGAACUCAUGGUGAUCCUCCUGCCUCAGCCUCCUGAGUCCUGGGAUUACUCGUCAGGCUAGAAUUUGAACCAAUCACAGGCCGACAUAUAGGCCAAUCAUAGGUCUGUAUCUACUAUAUAAGUAGACUACCCUGACCCACAUUAGUCUCUGAGGGUUCCUUGAGGUGUACUGACUGCCCCCCCCACCCGCCCUGUACUGCUACACAGGUUCUGUUAAAUUAAAACUCACUCUAGUGGUCCUGUAAAUCCUUUCCUGAUUUAUUUCUCAGGGCUCAAAAGGUCCUGUAAAUCUACUCGGGAUUUUUACCCUGAGUAGUGUGCCCAGAGUGGCCAUUUCAAAAGAAAGAGCAAUAAACACUAGGGGCUGUUAUGUUAGCCCAGAAGAGAUCCAGAGAACAGCGGCCAACGAUCAGCAAUAGAGACCAGCACCUGGCAGGGUUGACCUGCACUGUCUGGCACAAGCUGGCACCAAGUGACAGCAGCCAGUACCUUGCUAGUUUCCUGAUGCCAUCUAGCACAAGCCAGAGUCGAGCAGUGGUGGCCAACAACAGCUGUAUUAACCCAUGGCAUCCAGCAGUAUCUGUCAUCAUCUGGUGGCUUCAGGGCUGUUAGCAGAGCUCCACUUUGCCAAUUCAUGAUUUCUAUGUGAAUUGAGCAAAAGAACCCUCAACUGCCUGGCAACAACAGGGCAAACUGCUGUCCCAAAAACUGGAGAACCAGAAAGGCAGACACAGAUAAUCACAACUCACAGGAACAGACAUCCAUGAGCAGGAACCAGUGCUGGGAUGGGGAAAACCUGAACUGUAAUUGAUGAACUCCUGGAUGCUCUGCAUUGAUAGCCUGAGAGUAAAAAACAUCAGGGGGCUCCAGUCAUAGGAAAGGUCACACACUUUUGUGAGUGUUACCUCCAGAACUUGGACCAAGUUCUCACAGUGGAGACUUGGCAGUGGGUGGGAGGAUCACAUAUGCUUCUGGAGGAGGAAGGGAAAACCGUUUUGAAAUAUGCUGGAGCAUUCUUUUCUUCAUGGCCUACCUCUUCUAUUCUUUAGGCCUACCCUAAAUAGAAACUAUUUUACCAGAGUCUGACCUACUGAGGUUUUAUCAGAGCCUAACUGACCUGUGGCAGGAAAUUCUCCAGCCCCUCUUAUCAUCCUUCGCCACAUAAGUGGGUGGGAAAUGGAAGCCCUUGUUAAGUCACACACAGAGGUACUUGGCUCACAGAAACACCAAGGCAUAAUCAUAGGACCACAGCUGCUGGCAAAUGCUUCCCCUGUGCCUGUGCCUCAUCUACUCACCAGUGAAGGCCCACAGAAGUUACUGCAGUUCCUUUCCCUCAUCAGUCAUGCCAGCCUUUCUACAGAAAGGCAGACCAAACAGGCAGAAAGUGUAGAACAGACAGAACAAGCAUCCAAACCAAGUUCAGAUAUAGCAAGAAUGUUGCAAUAUCAGACCAACAGUGCUUUGUUUUGUUUUACAGAUGAGAAAACAUUACAGUUUAAUUUCCCAUGAGUAAACUGAUAGGUAAUGUAAAUCAUCACUGGAGAAACAUGGGAACAGUCAAGCAUAACGAACACAUAGAAAGAUAAUUGUCUCCACAAUGAGGAAAUACAUUCACUACCUACGUCUUCAACCGUCUGCUUAGCACAUGUGCAAAAAUACAGCAAAACUACUACAAUUGGGUGAGAAACACCUCACAGCUACAUGCUGAGUUAUGCUAAUAAAACUAAACUUAUCACUUCCUUUAAAAGUAAAAUUGCCAUCACUGAAUCAUUGUCAUAAAAAGUCCAUUCAAGAACAUUACCAGCUAUUUUAAAUAAACACCGAUUUUGAAACAAUGAACUUUGAAAACUUUAUAUAAGGUUUUUAAAAAAAUAUCCUUGAGGGGCCGAGGAUUUAGCUCAGUGGUUCCGCCACCUCCCUCGCAAGCUCAAGGUCCCGAGUUUGAUCUCCGGUACAAAAAAAAAAAUCCUUGAUUACAUUUCUACUUAUUCACUGUGUUGGCCUGAAAGUUGUUUUUUUUUUUUUUGUACGGGGGAUUGAACUCAGGACCUUGUGCUUGCAAGGCAGGCAUGGUACCACUGAGCUAACUCCUUGACCCAACAUUAUAUUUUUAAAGACUACCAUUUAAUUUCUUUAAGACAAAACAAAACAAAAAACCUGUAGAAUACAGAACAUCAGUAAAACAAGAAAAAUGUGUGCUUGUCACUUAUUUCACUGCACAUAGAACUGCGAUAAAAUAUGAUACUGGGUGGGGGGCCAAGGAUUUAGCUCAAUGACACUGCACCUGCCUCUCAAGUGCAAGGUCCUGAGUUCGAUCCCCAGUACCAAAAAAAAAAUGAUACUUGGGCCACUUUAGUACAGUAUAUGGGAAAACACAAUUUAUAGUACAGAAAACAGGGCUUAUGAAAACAUUACUGUUAAAUCUAAGGUUCGUACUUUCACCUCAAUUCCUUAUUCAGGCCACCACAACAUUCCCACUGAGGUCUUUGGGAGGCUUCAGGCACAAUCAGCAGCAUUUUUCAUCCCAUAGUUAACAAGGUGUGCAAUUCACAUUGACUAAAAGACAACUGGUUUGAUGCCAGCUCCUGAGUUUGAAGUUUAUCUCAGACUACUCUAGAAAAUAAUUUGUAUCACACAGGAUUCAUCCUUUCCAUGCUGGUGCAGUUUUUCCAUCAAAAGAUAAUCAGCCCCAAAAUAGAAGAGUUUUGUUUGUGGGUUUUUUUUUUGUUGGCAGCUUUUGUUUUGUUUUUGAGACAGAUCUCAUUAUGCUGCACAGACUGGCCUUGAACUCCUGGGUUCAAGUGAUUCUCCUCCCCCAGCCUCCUGAAUAGCUGAAUUACAGGUGCAAGCCAAUGUGCAUGGCUUGGGGGCUUUUUAAAUCAUGUUAAAUUGUUCAGUUCCUUUUAUCCAACUUUCCACAAGCAUCUUAAACUUUCACCCUUACUAAAUUGGAUGAAUGGUAUAUUCAUUUCCUAAAAAGAUACAAACAUCAUAAAC
ensembl:lncRNA